rnacentral:misc_RNA from 1 species
CACGAGGUAGGUGCAAUGUGAUUCCCCCGAGUAAUAGAGACUUUAUUGCCGCGUAAAAUAUCAAGACCAUGUUGUCUAGAACUGACAAUUCGGCCGCGAAGUAUUUAGCACGACCACGGGGAUGUGAACUCAAGCUGUGUGUCUUAUUGCUUGAGUUAGUUCAUGAUGAUUGUACGAUUAAAGGAAAAAGAAAGAAAAGAAAAGGCAAAUUAUCACGCUUGUUAUUCGGCUUGUUGUUCGUAAAUUGACCGACAACAAAAUGAGUCUGGAAUAAAACGAAGUAAAUUCUCAUGCUGGCUCUACGAGCUUUCGGAGUAAAAAAAGAAAGAGCAAGUAACCAUAAAUUUUCGCGCUUCUGCGUUGCAGUUGUUUUCUUGGCGAGAAAUUGGUUGAGCAUUUUCGUUCGCUCAUCUUUAAUACAUGAUUCUCGUAAUUAAAACCGUGUCAACAAGUAUGCUCCAUUUGCAAAAGAAGAACGAGGUGGUUGAAUUAUCCUACGCAUGAAAAAGUAUCUCUCGUUUGCGCUCACGCUUGUUUUCUAAUUUAAUAAAAGCACCAACAGUAAGUUAAUGUAUUUGAUAAUAAUCUAUGAAUCAACUUGAAGGACAGAGCAUAAAAUCUUUCGACUUCAACAUCAUGUUCAUAUAUUUUAAUGAAGACUAAAAGGUUUCAAUAAAAAUAUCCAGAUACACGGCUGACGUCAAAUGAUAUAUUAUGCGGAAGCAUUUUAGUAGAAUGAAGAUCGUGUCUCUCGUUUUCCAAAGCAUAAAAAGACACUAUAUCUUAAUUUUUCUUUUCUUGUCUUCCUGUAAUAUAAUACUCUGCAUUGCUCCAUUAAUAUUUUCAAUAUACUAGGUGCAAUUGCAUCUCGUUGUGAUGUAGAUGAAACGAUAUUGAGGAACAGCAUAAACGAAGAUUUAUUAUAACCAAGGGGAGAGAAAUACGAUGAUGGAUUAAAUGAAACGAUAUUGCCAUUACUUACAUUUGUAUUUUACGCGAAAGUCUUGGUAUUAAUCCAUGUAUACGUACGUAGUAAAUACUUUAAUUAUAAAUGCAGCUAGAAAAUAUCUGUCUCGACUAUGAAAAUUUAGAUCUGAACUUAAAAAUGUAAAUUAUCAUAAAAGAUUAUAGAUUUAAAUAACGUUUA